AUAUUUAAACUUAUGAGUAAGGAAAAUAAUGUACUUACUGCUAAUGUAAGAUGAAUUUUUGAACAGGUAAAGUUUGCCCCUAAGGUGACCCACCUACUUUGCAGGAUGACUGGAUAUCAUGAUCUGCUUG
rnacentral:snRNA from 1 species